AAGGAUCAUUAUCGUACAAACAUGUGUGAGGCGUGCGAGGGCUGUCGCUGACUUUUUUAACACAAAAGUUGUGCACGCCGGAGUGCGUCCUCUCACAUAAAAUCCAUCUCACCCUUUUGUGCACCACCGCGUGGGCACCCUUUGGGAUCGAAUCGACCCUGGAGGGGGCUUGCGUUUUCACACAAACCCCUUUUAAAAAGUGUAGAAUGACCCCACUUUGCGAUGACACGCAAUCAAUACAACUUUCAACAACGGAUCUCUUGGCUCUC
rnacentral:misc_RNA from 1 species